UGUUGAUCCCGCCAGUAUUAUAUGCUUGUCUCAAAGAUUAAGCCAUGCAUGUUUUAUUUGUUGUCCCCCCCAGUAUUAUAUGCUGAUGUUAAAGAUUAAACCAUGCAUGUGUAAGUUUAAAGACCAAGUAGGAUGAAACUGCGGACGGCUCAUUAUAACAGUAAUAGUUUCUUUGGUUAGUAGGUACAAGGAUAACUUUGUGAAUGAUAAAGCUAAUACUUGAGACGAUCCGGGGAGUAUUUGUACUUUUCGGCCCGUGGCCGCAAGGUUGGCGAGAAAUGACAUUCUCUUGUGAAAAAGGAUGCCACGACAAUUGAGGAAAGCGACGCUUUUUACAAGUAACCAAUGGGAAUUUCUGAUCUAUCAAUUUGUUGGUAGUAUCGAGGACUACCAAGAUUAUAACGGAUAACGAGGAAUUGGGGUUCGACAUCGGAGAGGGAGCUUUACAGAUGGCUACCACUUCUAAGGAAGGCAGCGGGCGCGUCAAUUACCCACGUUCGUCUCGAAGAGGUAGCCACGACAAUUAAAUUUCGCACGCCCGGUGCAGGCAGAAGGAAUGACAAGAAAAACUUCUAUUAAGACUGCAAAUGCUGGGCAGUUCGUCUACGUCCGUA
rnacentral:rRNA from 1 species